ACAGGAGGACGGCCGGCGGCGGUGCGGAUCCCCCACCCGCGUUAAGACCUUCGCCGCCUUGCGGCCAGCGUUCAGCCGCCCGCGCCGGCAUAGC
rnacentral:misc_RNA from 1 species